rnacentral:rRNA from 1 species
UACGGAGGGUGCAAGCGUUAUCCAGAUUUACUGGGUUUAAAGGGUGCGCAGGCGGAUAUGUAAGUCAGUGGUGAAAUCCCGAGGCUCAACCUCGGAACUGCCUUUGAUACUAUUAGUCUUGAAUGUUGUUGAGGUGGGCGGAACGGGUCAUGUAGCGGUGAAAUGCAUAGAUAUGACCCGGAACACCGAUCGCGAAGGCAGCCCGCUAAGCAACUAUUGACGCUGAGGCACGAAAGCGUGGGGAUCAAACAGG